rnacentral:rRNA from 1 species
UCGGCUACGAGGACGAACGCUGGCGGCGCGCUUAAUACAUGCAAAGUCGAACGAGAAGCCAGAGCUUGCUCUGGUGGAAAGUGGCGAACGGGUGAGUAACACGUGAGAAACCUGCCCCAAAGAUUGGGAUAAGCCUUGGAAACGAGGUCUAAUACCAAAUACCUUCUUUUUAACACAUGUUAAAAAGAAGAAAUGCUCCGGCGCUUUGGGAUGGUCUCGCGAUCUAUCAGCUUGUUGGUGAGGUAACGGCUCACCAAGGCAUCGACGGAUAGCUGGUCUGAGAGGAUGUCCAGCCACAUUGGAACUGAGACACGGUCCAAACUCCUACGGGAGGCAGCAGUAGGGAAUCUUGCACAAUGAGGGAAACCUUGAUGCAGCGACGCCGCGUGCGGGACGAAGGCCCUAGGGUUGUAAACCGCUUUCAGUAGGGACGAAAGUGACGGUACCUACAGAAGAAGCCCCGGCCAACUAUGUG